rnacentral:rRNA from 1 species
AGUAACGCGUGAGCAACCUGUCCUUCAGAGGGGGACGAACGGCUGGAAACGGCCGCUAAUACCGCAUGACAUAUCCGGAUGGCAUCGUCUGGAUAUCAAAGGAGAAAUCCGCUGAAGGGUGGGCUCGCGUCCGAUUAGCUAGUUGGUAGGGUAACAGCCUACCAAGGCGACGAUCGGUAGCCGAACUGAGAGGUUGAUCGGCCGCAUUGGGACUGAGACACGGCCCAGACUCCUACGGGAGGCAGCAUG